ensembl:lncRNA
AACUCUUCAACUAGCGAAAACUCAACUAGCGUAAACUCUUCAACUAGCGUAAACUCUUCAACUAGCGAAAACUCUUCAACUAGCGAAAACUCAACUAGCCGUAACUCUUCAAUUAGCGUAAACUCUUCAACUAGCGAAAACUCCAACUAGCGUAAACUCUUCAACUAGCGUAAACUCUUCAACUAGCAUUAACUGUUCAACUAACGUAAACUUUUCAAUUAGCGUAAACUUUUCAACUAGCAUAAACUCUUCAACUAGCGUAAACUUUUCAAUUAGCGUAAACUUUUCAACUAGCGUAAACUCUUCAACUAGUGUAAACUCUUCAGUUAGCGUAAACUCUUCAAUUAGUGUAACUCAACUAGCGUAAACUCUUCAACUAGCGUAAACUCUCACAGAAUUAAGCUGAAUGUUCAGAUCUAACAAACAUUCUGUGGAGAAAAGCCAAAC